UUUUUUUCAUCUUUUCUUCAUCUUGUGCUGUGUUGGAAUCUGGUGCUUCUGGAAGAUAAUACAGAACGCCUCUGCAGCUUCACAAGACCGGCCAAACAGCUCAGUCAGGGAGAACAGGACCUGUCAUCUUGCAUGUCCGUGCCAGUGUCCAUUGUCCCUUCCACAGCUGCAUUACCCACUGAUUGGGGGGACAUGCUGCCACCACCCAGAACAGGACCCUCUGUCUCCGAGAGUGCUGACCCUGAUGUCUGGCCAGGACUGAAGAGCUAAGACAACCCAAGGCACCUAGUCUACUGGAGAGGCUCUUUUCCUGCUGAAGAUUUGUACCUGGUCACAAAAAGUAAUGUAAAACCUUUUCCCUGAUAUUUUCUGGGAUUUCUGACAAGCUCGCCUCUCAGUCUUCAGAGGCAAACUUUGAGCACAGUGG